AGUAUGUGAUAAUCGGAGGUACGGUCUGGAGUGUUCUUUUAUAUGUGGUAACUGUAGUGACGGGGUGACAUGUAACCAUGUCGACGGAACGUGUCUGAAUGGAUGUGACGUAGGAGUGGAGGGAGAAAAAUGUCAGACUGCGUGUCGACCUGGACGAUACGGUAAAGACUGCAGAGAAAUCUGUAGCGCGAAUUGCUUACGUCAAAACCAGUGUAACAGAUUUAACGGUGAAUGUUACGGCGGGUGUCAAAGAGGAUGGAAGCUCCCUAACUGCCAGAAGGAGUGUGAUGGAGGCCUGUACGGCGUAAACUGUAGCCAAAGCUGUGGUCAGUGUAUAGGAGAUCAGCAGUGUCAUCACAUCAACGGCACGUGUUUGAAUGGCUGUUCCCCGGGAUAUAUCGGGGAUCUCUGUAUAAACCCAUGUGACGACGGACAAUGGGGACAGAACUGUCUUCAAAAAUGCAGUACAAAUUGUGUUAAUGAAACGUGUGUACCUGAGACGGGAAUAUGCUAUCAAUCAAAGGUAUAUGUUAAAGUUCAUCUACACACUGAUAAGAGAGAUAACUGUUAAUUAC